rnacentral:rRNA from 1 species
UGGGGAAUUUUGGACAAUGGGCGAAAGCCUGAUCCAGCAAUGCCGCGUGUGUGAAGAAGGCCUUCGGGUUGUAAAGCACUUUUGUCCGGAAAGAAAUCCUUGGCUCUAAUACAGUCGGGGGAUGACGGUACCGGAAGAAUAAGCACCGGCUAACUACGUGCCAGCAGCCGCGGUAAUACGUAGGGUGCAAGCGUUAAUCGGAAUUACUGGGCGUAAAGCGUGCGCAGGCGGUUUGCUAAGACCGAUGUGAAAUCCCCGGGCUCAACCUGGGAACUGCAUUGGUGACUGGCAGGCUAGAGUAUGGCAGAGGGGGGUAGAAUUCCACGUGUAGCAGUGAAAUGCGUAGAGAUGUGGAGGAAUACCGAUGGCGAAGGCAGCCCCCUGGGCCAAUACUGACGCUCAUGCACGAAAGCGUGGGGGAGCAGACAGGAUUAGAUACCCUGGUAGUCCACGCCCUAAACGAUGUCAACUAGUUGUUGGGGAUUCAUUUCCUUAGUAACGUAGCUAACGCGUGAAGUUGACCGCCUGGGGAGUACGGUCGCAAGAUUAAAACUUAAA